CCUACGGGUGGCAGCAGUGGGGAAUAUUGCACAAUGGAGGGAACUCUGAUGCAGCGACGCCGCGUGAGUGAAGAAGUAAUUCGUUAUGUAAAGCUCUAUCAGCAGGGAAGAAAGUGACGGUACCUGAAAAAGAAGCUCCGGCUAAAUCCGUGCAAGCAGCCGCGGUAAUACUUAUGGAGCACGCGUUAUCCGGAUUUACUGGGUGUAACGGGAGAGUAGGUGGCAGAGCAAGUCCGAAGUGAAAACGCAAAGCUGAACUAUGGGAAUGCUUUAGAAACUGGUCAGCUAGAGUGCAGGAGAGGGAGGUGGAAGUCUUGGUGUAGCGGUGAAAUGCGUAGAUAUUAGGAGGAACACCAGUGGCGAAGGCGGCUUGCUGGACGGUAACUGACACUGAGGCGCGAAAGCGUGGGGAGCAAACAGGAUUAGAUACCCGUGUAGUC
rnacentral:rRNA from 1 species